rnacentral:tRNA from 1 species
UGCUUUAUAGUUUAAUUGAAAACAUUAGAUUGUUAAUCUAAAAUUGUCUAAAGACUAGAGCAG